AGCAUGCCACAUGUCCUGGCACAGGUUCUAUAUUGUUCUGAGACAUGAUACCUAACUGUUUACUGUUUACCUUGUUCUGUACUCUCUAGGGGUGUACAGUAAUUAGGGUGGUACAACCAAGGCGAGUGUAUGCUGUGCUUAUGCUUGUAGCUGUGUGGUGUAUGGGUGACUAUUCUAUCCCUCUCUCUCUCUUCAUGUGCAACGGAGGGAGUACCACCAUACAAUGGAUCAACCAACCACUCCAUCAUCUGAACAGGAGGAAACCUCCAUUGAGUGCUACCUAUUCCAGUGGACAAGAGCAUCAGAAUAUUAAGAGACAUCAAA